UACGUAGGGUGCAAGCGUUAAUCGGAAUUACUGGGCGUAAAGCGUGCGCAGGCGGCUUUGCAAGGCAGAUGUGAAAUCCCCGGGCUUAACCUGGGAACUGCAUUUGUGACUGCAUGGCUGGAGUGCGGCAGAGGGGGAUGGAAUUCCGCGUGUAGCAGUGAAAUGCGUAGAUAUGCGGAGGAACACCGAUGGCGAAGGCAGUCCCCUGGGCCUGCACUGACGCUCAUGCACGAAAGCGUGGGGAGCAAACAGG
rnacentral:rRNA from 1 species